rnacentral:rRNA from 1 species
ACGAGGACCUCAGGUCA